CCGCUCCGAUCUGCAGCAGCUCACACCACUGAUGCUGCCAACCCGACCACCACCACGACUCCUACCGACUCACAACUCACAAGGACGGGGAGUCUUGGACGAGGACGAGGAGGCACACCUGCUGCUCUGCCUGCUCCGACCGCCGGCCGGGGAUGAAUGCCGCUGAGCAACACCGGCCCUCCCUUCAUCAUGCACAUUUCCUUUUUCUCUCUCUAUACCCUGCGUGUCUGACUAGGUAGCUUCUGCACCCACUCUGACUUGUCCAAAUUCGGAUGAUCUAUACAUCCGAAUUUCAACAAAUUUAAGACAUCUUUUAGACAUCCGUAUGGAUCCAAUUCACAUCCUCAAUAUGAUUUACCGUAUGAAUACUAGCCCCUGUAGAAUGCACACACAUAUGAUUUACUUCAUCCUAGAUGUGUGUAGCUACGUCAACCGCUUGCUUUUGUCACCCACAAGCUCGUCAUCCAUUUCUUUCGUUGCUGGGACUAAAUAAAUAAACAAUACCACUCACUGCUUUAUCUUACACCCUUUGAUUCCAUGGCUACUAUUCUCUUCUAAUCAUUCUCUUUGCUUUUCGUCACAGAAUUCCUUCUACUCAACAUGCAGUGUGCCUUAUCGCUGGCUAGCCUGAAGCAGAUUCAGGACGACUUGUUCCACUCUGAAGCCGGGGGACAAGAAUGGCUGCAACGGAUAGGUACAUCCCUCUGCCUUUUCAUUAUCAAUAAUAAUUGUGCUCUUCUGAUUGCUUUUCUUUCCCAUGCAUAUUGUUGCAUUCACGCAAAAUACCAUGUGUAGGGAGCUUGGCAUCCCACUCCGUGCCACUGACGCAGGAGCGAGGAUGGGUUGCAGCUGGUUGACUGUUGAGUCCGACCUACCUGGGACAAGCAGGAGAAUCUGGAAGCAGCUGUUGAGCACCUCACCAUUGAAAUCCUGCUGAAUCUGAGCUCAUCUAUCGAUUGUUCUUGCUGUUAUGUUGUUUGCGUCGACAAUGGUAUGGUGGGACAGAUAGACUGCGACCCUGGCACCUCAAGUAGCAGGUUUUCUCAAAGUUUCUUGUACUGAACAUGGAGCGGGCCUUAUCGCUGGAUAGUGGGAAGCAGAUUCACCACAACCUCCUUCACUCAUACAUAAUGGACAAGAACGACUGCAACCGAUAGCUGCAUCUCCCUGCCUUUUAAUUAUAAACAAUAAUUCUGCUGUUUUGGCUGCCCAAAGUUACCUGCAGUUGUUGGUGAUCGCCAAGCCCGGGAAUUUAGCUUGUGUUUUUUUCUCUGCUCAUUUCUCUUGGUGAUUCUCUCUCAUGAUCAAAUGCUGCAUUCCUUUCUGUAUGUGUGGGGUGAAAAGUUUGGACCCGACCAUUGCUUUUAGUUCCGCUAAUCUCAAGUUUUAGCUUUCAUUUAUCUCUUCUGGAAAAUUGGGAGCAAUGUUUAGUUACGUGUAUGCUUAAUUAGCGGUAGCUGAUGAUCUUCUUGUACAAGGACAUGGUUAAUUAAAAUCUUCUUGUUGUUAUUGGUGAGUUCUUGAUGAUUGUAUCAUCAAUAAAAUGACAUGUGACUGUUCCCUAUGUAUGACAUGUGGUUGGUUUCUUAAGAACCCUAACGCGAUAUAUAUAACACUGUUAUAUAAAGUGGGUUCUACAACCGUUAUAUUCACAUACUGUUGCUCUGAUUUUAAAAUAGCUGAAUCCUGAGAUGCUUGUAUUUAAGUUCUGCCGGCAUAUGUUGCAAUUAUACGGCAUAUAGGUAU